GAUGAACGCUAGCGGCAGGCUUAACACAUGCAAGUCGAGGGGUAUAGGGAGCUUGCUUCCUAGAGACCGGCGCACGGGUGCGUAACGCGUAUGCAAUCUACCUUUUGCAGAGGGAUAGCCCAGAGAAAUUUGGAUUAAUACCUCAUAGUAUAGCAGUUUCGCAUGAAACCACUAUUAAAGUCACAACGGCAAAAGAUGAGCAUGCGUCCCAUUAGCUUGUUGGUGAGGUAACGGCUUACCAAGACGAUGAUGGGUAGGGGUCCUGAGAGGGAGAUCCCCCACACUGGUACUGAGACACGGACCAGACUCCUACGGGAGGCAGCAGUGAGGAAUAUUGGACAAUGGGCGCAAGCCUGAUCCAGCCAUGCCGCGUGCAGGAAGAAGCAUCUAUGGUGUGUAAACUGCGUUUGUACGGGAAGAAACACUCCUACGUGUAGGAGCUUGACGGUACCGUAAGAAUAAGGAUCGGCUAAACUCC
rnacentral:rRNA from 1 species